rnacentral:rRNA from 1 species
CGUGGGUAACCUGCCCAAGAGAUCGGGAUAACACCUGGAAACAGAUGCUAAUACCGGAUAACAACAGAUGAUGCCUAUCAACUGUUUAAAAGAUGGUUCUGCUACCACUCUUGGAUGGACCUGCGGUGCAUUAGCUAGUUGGUAGGGUAACGGCCUACCAAGGCGAUGAUGCAUAGCCGAGUUGAGAGACUGAUCGGCCACAUUGGGACUGAGACACGGCCCAAACUCCUACGGGAGGCAGCAGGC